GACGAACCGUGCGAACGUUAUUCGGAAUUACUGGGCGUAAAGCGUGCGCAGGCGGUUUGCUAAGACCGAUGUGAAAUCCCCGGGCUCAACCUGGGAACUGCAUUGGUGACUGGCAGGCUAGAGUAUGGCAGAGGGGGGUAGAAUUCCACGUGUAGCAGUGAAAUGCGUAGAGAUGUGGAGGAAUACCGAUGGCGAAGGCAGCCCCCUGGGCCAAUACUGACGCUCAUGCACGAAAGCGUGGGGAGCAAACAGG
rnacentral:rRNA from 1 species